AUCUAGCUGACGAGUCCCGAAUAGGACGAACCGCGCUUUGUCCUGAAU
rnacentral:hammerhead_ribozyme from 1 species